CUUGGAGGUCACUCGUAAAGACACUGGAACAUUUGUUUUCCAGCCCGGCCUCCCUUCCAGCUGUGUGGUACACUUGAUCCAACACAAAGUGCACAUAGCUUCCAAUUGAAGAUACAAAAUGGCUGCUCUGUCCCUACCAUUACAUCUGCAUUCCAGAAGUGAGAGAGAAUAAAGGGGCAAGAAGGUGAGAGCACAAUUUGGAAAUGGCUCACAUCACUCCCAUUCCUAUCCCAUUAGCCAAAAUCUACACAAGUCCACAUCUAGCUGCAAGAGAAGUUGGGAAAUAUGGUCUUUUAUUCUGGGUGAUGGUAUGUCUGGGUGUAUUUUGGGGUAUGGAAUAAGGAAUGAGCUGUUGGUUCCACAAAGGAGGUGGGGUGAGGACCAGAGUUUCCAACCUCAGCCGUUGGGUCAGGUCCUGGAGCUGCAGGGAUGAGCAGCUGACCGGUUGAGCUCAUCCCUGACCCCUUCUCUCUUGCGGAUGCUUGGCUGUGGAGAGUAUCCUCAGAAAACUGCACUUCCUGUGCCAGGGAUCCCAUUUGCUCUUUGGAGUACUAAAUCCUCACCUGUGGACACCCAGGGUGAGAGCCCUGGUCAGUUUAGAAGAUGCCCUCAGCCUGUGUGGAGAGCUCUGCAUCUUGUUGGCUGUCCUGUCCCUAGGGCCUGCUUGUGUCUCAGUGCAGAGGCCCUCGGUGAGCAAUUGCUAAAGGACUCAAGAUGUUUCUGGGUCACGACCGUGGUGUGACUGUCGCUGCGCUUGAUAUCUCCUGAGGCCUCCUGAGGGCUAAGCAAACACCGUGUGGCAGUCCCCAAAGACAAUGGAUGAUGGACUCAGAGAAAACAGGGCCAGAUGGUAGUGUUCUUGACACUGUGGGCCAGAAGAGCCCUGUCACCUCUGGUCCACUGUAGCUCAACAGCAAACUUGGGUGGUAGCAGAUGAGCCAGGAAACCCCAGGAGAUGUCAUUACAAAGGGAGGUGCAGUUCUAACGUGGCCGCCCCUUCACCUGGAAGCCAGAGUUGCGCUGGGGGUGGAGAGGUGCAGCGCACCCUUGCAGACUGAGGUAGGCACCUGGGAGACGCUGCAGGGGAGGACGUGCCUGGAUAGCCCUCUGGGGUGUGGUCUGCUCAGUCCUCCUCUCCAUGGACAGGGAUCCAGCAGAGCUAAGGGUGGCCAUGGCUAAUGGGACCAGGGUGGACGCUGAUCUGAGGGGGCACUUGGAAUAGGGACUUGGUUCUUGUUUUAAAAUCUUAAGCUGAGCGCACAAGGACACACACGGAGCUGGGCCGGCAGGAGAGGCUGGCCACAGGGGGCCCCGAAUGACUGGCGAAUGGGGAGGGGCCCCAGCUCCCUGAGACCUGCUGGGACCCUUCUGUAGGCAGUGACACUUCCAGGGGACCAAUCAUCCUUCUGGGGCUCUCAGGCUCACACUCCAAGGGCUCAUUUUUCUGAAGGCGCUCAGGACUUCUCCUGGCUCCAUGAAGAAUGUGGAAUACUUGAAAUUUCCACUCACACACUCCAGGAAAAAACACAUUAACCUUUAAGAAGGGAAUAAUGGCUUCGUUUUCAAGUGACCUUAUGGAUUAACCCUCGACAAGCCCUUCUGGAGGAAGGGUGGCCCUCGGCAGGGACCUAGUGGGUGCAGAAGAUAAUAAAGUGGUGAAAACUA